AUGAUAUUGGUCCAUCAUCAGAUCCAGGAACUCGUCAAGAUCGUUUGCAUCAUCCGCAACUAGCUGAUACAUGUUGGAUAAGAAUGGAACAUAAUUACAGUGUAAUUAGUAGACAAGACAGAGUUGCCAAAGGGAAGAAAGUCAUCCACAAGCAAGUGCCAAUGAAACCCGUUGACUCGACCAUCAGACGAAUGCGAUCUGAAAUAUCUCGCUUGCGUAAACGUAGUCAGUCUUUUAAGACUAGACUGGCCAGUGCCGAAAAAAUCUCUG